GACGUAGGGCGCGAGCGUUGUCCGGAUUUAUUGGGCGUAAAGAGCUCGUAGGCGGCUUGUCACGUCGGAUGUGAAAGCCCGAGGCUUAACCUCGGGUCUGCAUUCGAUACGGGCUAGCUAGAGUGUGGUAGGGGGAGAUCGAAUUCCUGGUGUAGCGGUGAAAUGCGCAGAUAUCAGGAGGAACACCGGUGGCGAAGGCGGAUCUCUGGGCCAUUACUGACGCUGAGGAGCGAAAGCGUGGGGAGCGAACAGG
rnacentral:rRNA from 1 species